AGUGAACGCUGGCGGUAGGCCUAACACAUGCAAGUCGAGCGGCAGCACAGUAAGAGCUUGCUCUUACGGGUGGCGAGUGGCGGACGGGUGAGGAAUACAUCGGAAUCUACUUUUUCGUGGGGGAUAACGUAGGGAAACUUACGCUAAUACCGCAUACGACCUACGGGUGAAAGCAGGGGAUCUUCGGACCUUGCGCGAUUGUAUGAGCCGAUGUCGGAUUAGCUAGUUGGCGGGGUAGAGGCCCAGCAAGGCGACGAUCCGUAGCUGGUCUGAGAGGGUGGUCAGCCACACUGGAACUGAGACACGGUCCAGACUCCGACGGGAAGCAGCAGUGGAGAAUACUGGGCAAUGGAGGCGAGCCUGAUCCAGCCAUACCGCGUGGGUGAAGAAGGCCUUCUGGUUGUAAAGCCCUUUUGUUGGGAAAGAAAAGCAGCAGGUUAAUACCCCGCUGUUCUGACGGUACCCAAAGAAUAAGCACCGGCUAACUUCGUG
rnacentral:rRNA from 1 species